rnacentral:rRNA from 1 species
GACGAACGCUGGCGGCGUGCUUAACACAUGCAAGUCGAGCGGUAAGGCCCUUUCGGGGGUACACGAGCGGCGAACGGGUGAGUAACACGUGGGUGACCUGCCUUUAGCUCUGGGAUAAGCCUGGGAAACUGGGUCUAAUACCGGAUACGACUCCGCGGUGCAUGCUGUGGGGUGGAAAGCCUUGUGCGGCUGGAGAUGGGCCCGCGGCCUAUCAGCUUGUUGGUGGGGUGAUGGCCUACCAAGGCGACGACGGGUAGCCGGCCUGAGAGGGCGACCGGCCACACUGGGACUGAGACACGGCCCAGACUCCUACGGGAGGCAGCAGUGGGGAAUCUUGCGCAAUGGGCGAAAGCCUGACGCAGCGACGCCGCGUGCGGGAAGAAGGCCU